UCUUCAGCUCCAACCACCGUUGUGUGGAGGGGACGUGUUACGCAUAUCGCCCACCUCACCUCAUGGCCAGAGCCUUGCCAAGUGUCAACUGAGCUCCAAGUGUCCGAUAACUGAGCUUGUGCUCGUGGUCACCCUUCUCACCUCGUCCUUCUCUGUCUCCCGUAUGGGGGAAUGGGCUGAGGAAAGAGGCAUGGAAGGCGAGGGCGUGUGAAGCCGUUGGGUCUGCAUUAACAACAGGGAGCUGGGCGGACGAGGAGAUUUGCUAGGAAGGAAGAUGGAGGAACAAACCACAGCUGUCGGGAAAGAAGCAAAUGACAUUUUGCCACCUCUCCACACAGCAUCUCCCAUGUGGUAUGCAGUGACUUUUGAGCUGCAACGUAUGGGUGUGAACCAAAAGAAAAGGAAGUACAAAGCUGUCGGUAACCUGAUAGUGUAAGAGUGUGUACCUUGCAGAAGGCCACGCUGCUCAUUGCAGAGGCACAUGGCUAGUUUCUAAACAUUCUCAAAUAUCAAGCUGGAGAACAUCACCUCCUAGAUCUGACCCUAGAUCUCCCUGUUCAGAUUUCUUUCUGUUCAACGCUACGUUUUGCUACCUUGCUUCAGUUUCUUCUGCCUCACUUACAGCUGCCUGCCAGGUCUAUAUAAUCUGACUAUACAGAAGAGGUUGUACAGGUAUUGUUAAAGUGAUGCAAUUUGUGUGUACAGGCAAGCUCAAAUAUUACAAAGUCUCUGUCUUCUGAGAAAUAUUAAGCUCUACUGUAUCAAACAACUGUUACCUGUUGGGUUUUUUGGAAAAUAACUAUGUAAUUUCCAGGGCAAUGUAAUUGAUUACAGUUUCCUGCACAUCCAUCACCAUUAAAGUGACUUAAGAGACCUGUAGUCGGAUGUGUUUCUGCUGACAUUCAUUGCAUGGCUGAAAGUCUGCUCAGUCUGCUUUGUUCCUGAAUGCACGUAUGUGGAAAACAGAAACAGCAUGUGAUUUAUUUUACAUUCUUUAUAGAAACAAAUCCCUAGAUUUGCAUGUCUAGUGGAAAAAUAAAAAAUAAAAAAUGGAAAGCCAUCCAUCUAA